CAUGGAAUUCUCCCUUGAGGGCACUUCCUGUACAGUCUCGGGUCGUUUCCGGAGGGUGGCAGUCAUCCUGUUUGUUGACAUCGCAUUGUUUACCGUGUUCACGAUAUGACAGUUGUCACCAGACACCUGUAAGAGAUGGCCAACAAGAAAAAAGCUGACCUGAAGGUCAUCAUCAUGGGCGACUUUGCUGUGGGGAAAACUUCACUCAUCUGUCGAUACAUUGAGGGAAAAUUCAAAACCCAGGAACCGACAAUCGGAGCUGCCUUCUUCCUGAAACAGUGGGGCCCCUACAAUGUUGCUGUGUGGGACACGGCAGGCGAUGAGCGCUACACCGGCCUCUCCAACUUCUACUGCCGCAACGCUGGCGUCGCCAUCCUGGCCUACGAUAUAUCCAGUGACAAGUCAUUUGAAUCUCUCUGGGCAAGAUUUAACCCCUUACUCUCUGCUGCACAUGAAGACUGCCUCAGGGUUGUCGUGGGAACCAAGCUAGACCAGGUCACACCCACAUCUCGUGCGGUUACCAUUGAAGAAGGAGUGAAGUUAGCCAAGGAGCUUAACGAACACCUGGAUAUAUCCAAACUGCUGAAAGCCCCCUACUUUGAAACUUCCAGCUUGAACGGACAUAAUGUGAAGGAGCUGUUUGAGUGUAUAUUUCAGUACCGACUACCGAUUAGUGAUGGAGACAGAACCCGACAGGUCAAGGACACAGUGGAUCUGUAUGAGACUGGCAGCUCCGGCUCAAAGAAGGGCGGUUGCUGUUAACGGUGUGUGGAACAACAGCCAUAGUGUGUACUUGUGUGACGUCACUCAGCCAUAAUGUGUACUUGUGUGAUGUCACUCAGCCGUAGUGUGUACUUGUGUGAUGUCACUCAGCCGUAGAGUGUACUUGUGUGACGUCACUCAGCCAUAAUGUGUACUUGUGUGAUGUCACUCAGCCAUAGUGUGUACUUGUGUGAUGUCACUCAGCCAUAGUGUGUACUUGUGUGACGUCCCUCAGCCAUAGUGUACUUGUGUGACGUCACUCAGCCAUAAUGUGUACUUGUGUGAUGUCACUCAGCCAUAGUGUGUACUUGUGUGACUUCACUCAGCCAUAGUGUGUACUUGUGUGAUGUCACUCAGCCAUAGUGUGUACUUGUGUGAUGUCACUCAGCCGUAGUGUGUACUUGUGUGAUGUCACUCAGCUGUAGUGUUUACUUGUGUGAUGUCACUCAGCCAUAGUGUGUACUUGUGUGAUGUCACUCAGCUGUAGUGUGUACUUGUGUGAUGUCACUCAGCCAUAGUGUGUACUUGUGUGACGUCAUUCUAUAGUGUGUGCUUCUGUGUGAUGUCACUCAGCUGUAGUGUGUACUUGUGUGAGGUCACUCAGCCGUAGUGUGUACUUGUGUGAUGUCACUCAGCUGUAGUGUGUACUUGUGUGAUGUCACUCAGCCAUAGUGUGCACUUGUGUGAUGUCACUCAGCUGUAGUGUGUACUUGUGUGAUGUCACUCAGCCGUAGUGUGUACUUGUGUGAUGUCACUCAGCUGUAGUGUGUACUUGUGUGAUGUCACUCAGCUGUAGUGUGUACUUGUGUGAUGUCACUCAGCCAUAGUGUGCACUUGUGUGAUGUCACUCAGCCAUAGUUUGUACUUGUGUGACGUCACUCAGCCGUAGAGUGUACUUGUGUGAUGUCACCCAGCCAUAGUUUGUACUUGUAUGAUGUCACUCAGCCAUAGUGUCUACUUGUGUGACAUCACCCAGCCAUAGCGUGUACUUGUGUGAUGUCACUCAGCCGUAGUGUGUACUUGUGUGAUGUCACUCAGCCAUAGUGUGUACUAGUGUGACAUCACCCAGCCAUAGCGUGUACUUGUGUGAUGUCACUCAGCCGUAGUGUGUACUUGUGUGAUGUCACUCAGCCGUAGUGUGUACUUGUGUGAUGUCACUCAGCCAUAGUGUGUACUUGUGUGACGUCACUCAGCCAUAGUGUGUACUUGUGUGAUGUCACUCAGCCGUAGAGUGUACUUGUGUGACGUCACUCAGCCAUAAUGUGUACUUGUGUGAUGUCACUCAGCCGUAGAGUGUACUUGUGUGACGUCACUCAGCCAUAAUGUGUACUUGUGUGAUGUCACUCAGCCAUAAUGUGUACUUGUGUGAUGUCACUCAGCCGUAGAGUGUACUUGUGUGACGUCACUCAGCCAUAAUGUGUACUUGUGUGAUGUCACUCAGCCAUAGUGUGUACUUGUGUGAUGUCUCUCAGCCGUAGUGUGUACUUGUGUGACGUCACUCAGCCAUAAUGUGUACUUGUGUGAUGUCACUCAG
rnacentral:misc_RNA from 1 species